rnacentral:rRNA from 1 species
CUACGGGCCGCAGCAGGCGAGAAAACUUUGCAAUGUGCGAAAGCACGACAAGGUUAAUCCGAGUGGUUUGUGCUAAACGAACCUUUUGAAAGUCUUAGAAACACUGUUGAAUAAGGGGUGGGCAAGUUCUGGUGUCAGCCGCCGCGGUAAAACCAGCACCUCAAGUGGUCAGGAUGAUUAUUGGGCCUAAAGCAUCCGUAGCCGGCUCUGUAAGUUUUCGGUUAAAUCUGUACGCUCAACGUACAGGCUGCCGGGAAUACUGCAGAGCUAGGGAGUGGGAGAGGUAGACGGUACUCGGUAGGAAGGGGUAAAAUCCUUUGAUCUAUUGAUGACCACCUGUGGCGAAGGCGGUCUACCAGAACACGUCCGACGGUGAGGGAUGAAAGCUGGGGGAGCAAACCGCAUUAGAUACCCCGGUAGUC